rnacentral:misc_RNA from 1 species
GAUGAAGAACGCAGUGAAAUGCGAUAAGUAAUGUGAAUUGCAGAAUUCAGUGAAUCAUCGAAUCUUUGAACGCACAUUGCGCCCGCCAGUAUUCUGGCGGGCAUGCCUGUUCGAGCGUCAUUUCAACCAUCAAGCCCCCGGCUUGUGUUGGGGACCUGCGGCUGCCGCGGGCCCUGAAAAGCAGUGGCGGGCUCGCUGUCACACCGAGCGUAGUAGCAUACAUCUCGCUCUGGGCGUGCUGCGGGUUCCGGCCGUUAAACCACCUUCAUAACCCAAGGUUGACCUCGGAUCAGGUAGGAAGACCCGCUGAACUUAAGCAUAUCAAUAAGCGGAGGA